rnacentral:rRNA from 1 species
CACGUAGGAUGCAAGCGUUAUUCGGAUUUACUGGGCGUAAAGCGCGUGUAGGCGGUUAGGAGAGUUGGAUGUGAAAGCUCCCGGCUUAACUGGGAGAGGUCGUUCAAAACUUCCUGACUAGAGUUUGGUAGAGGAAAAUGGAAUUCCGGGUGUAGUGGUGAAAUGCGUAGAUAUCCGGAGGAACACCAGUGGCGAAAGCGAUUUUCUGGACCGAUACUGACGCUCAGACGCGAAAGCUAGGGUAGCAAACGGGAUUAGAAACCCUAGUAGU